rnacentral:rRNA from 1 species
UACGUAGGUGGCGAGCGUUGUCCGGAUUUACUGGGCGUAAAGAGAGCGUAGGCGGACUUUUAAGUGAGAUGUGAAAUACUCGGGCUCAACUUGAGUGCUGCAUUUCAAACUGGAAGUCUAGAGUGCAGGAGAGGGGAAUGGAAUCCCUAGUGUAGCGGUGAAAUGCGUAGAGAUUAGGAAGAACACCAGUGGCGAAGGCGAUUCUCUGGACUGUAACUGACGCUGAGGCUCGAAAGCGCGGGGAGCAAACAGG